rnacentral:rRNA from 1 species
CAGCAGCCGCGGGAAUACAGAGGGUGCGAGCGUUAAUCGGAUUUACUGGGCGUAAAGCGUGCGUAGGCGGCUUCUUAAGUCGGAUGUGAAAUCCCUGAGCUUAACUUAGGAAUUGCAUUCGAUACUGGGAAGCUAGAGUAUGGGAGAGGAUGGUAGAAUUCCAGGUGUAGCGGUGAAAUGCGUAGAGAUCUGGAGGAAUACCGGUGGCGAAGGCGGCCCCCUGGACAAAGACUGACGCUCAGGUGCGAAAGCGUGGGGAGCAAACAGGAUUAGAUACCCCUGUAGUCCCUGUCUCUUAUAC